GCCGUAAACGAUGAGAACUAGAUGUCGGGGGAAUCUGUCCUUCGGUGUCGCAGCUAACGCGUUAAGUUCUCCGCCUGGGGAGUACGCCGGCAACGGUAAAACUCAAAGGAAUUGACGGGGACCCGCACAAGCGGUGGAGCAUGUGGUUUAAUUCGAUGCAACGCGAAGAACCUUACCUGCCCUUGACAUUGACAGAAUCCUGUAGAGAUACGGGAGUGCUUCGGCCUGGAAAACAGGUGCUGCAUGGCUGUCGUCAGCUCGUGUCGUGAGAUGUUGGGUUAAGUCCCGCAACGAGCGCAACCCUCGCCUUUAGUUGCCAGCAUUAAGUUGGGCACUCUAGAGGGACUGCCGGUGAUAAGCCGGAGGAAGGUGGGGAUGACGUCAAAUCAUCAUGGCCCUUACGGGCUGGGCUACACACGUGCUACAAUGGCGGUGACAGUGAGCAGCCACUCAGCAAUGGGGAGCUAAUCUCUAAAAGCCGUCUCAGUUCGGAUUGUUCUCUGCAACUCGAGAGCAUGAAGUUGGAAUCGCUAGUAAUCGUGGAUCAGCAUGCCACGGUGAAUACGUUCCCGGGCCUUGUACACACCGCCCGUCACACCAUGGGAGUUGGUUUUACCCGAAGACUGUGUGCUAACUUUUAGAGGCAGCAGGCCACGGUAGGGUCAGCGACUGGGGUGAAGUCGUAACAAGGUAACCGUA
rnacentral:rRNA from 1 species